rnacentral:rRNA from 1 species
AUUGAACGCUGGCGGCAGGCCUAACACAUGCAAGUCGAGCGAGCGGCGGACGGGUGAGUAAUGUAUGGGGACUGCCCGAUAGAGGGGGAUAACUACUGGAAACGGUAGCUAAUACCGCAUACUAUCGGAUAACCCAUAUGGGAUUAGCUAGUUGGUGAGGUAAUGGCUCACCAAGGCGACGAUCCCUAGCUGGUCUGGGAGGAUGUUCAGCCCCACGGGGACUGAGCCACGGCCCAGACUCCUACGGAGGCAGCAGUGGGGAUUAUUGCACAAUGGGAGCAAGCCUGCUGCGGCCAUGCCGCGUGGAGGAAGAAGGCCCUAGUGUUGUAAAGUACUUUCAGUCGGGAGGCGUUACCGACAGAAGAAGCACCGGCUAACUCCGUGCCAGCCGCCGCGGUAAUAC